GAGGCACUCAGCCAAGAACUGUCAGCCACCAACCCUUUGUAGCUGGAGGAAUAAAUGCCUCAGUCCCGAAGGGGAAUUUGGGCACCACCUCACGGAGUCCAUUACAAUGGAAGCCACUGAAAUGUUUUCAGUUUGAGAUGCACGGCAGGGAUCUCCUCCCCAAGCAAAAGGCAAUAUGAGGUGAGAAGACAAGCAUGCUGCCAGCACAGGUACAGGCCUGCAUGAUGGAGCUGCGGCUCUCCGAGAGAGGCUUUUCAUUUUAACAACUGUGAUAGCGAAGGAGGAAGCCUAAUGAAGAUGGUCUAAUUGAAGUGGGAGAAGGAAACAUUAACUGCGCAUCAAAAGGAAGACUUUGGGGCUUAUUUAAUUUGGACCCCCUUGUUUGAUCGAGCAUUAAAACUGGCUGAGAGGUCAAGACACUCAGAAAAAUCAGCGCCUACACCAUGACAAAGCCCUGGAUGCUGGAAAGUUUGUUGGCUUUAUUUUAGUUUUUUUUAAUUAUAUGAAGCCAUAUUGCUCUGUUCUGUUCUGUGUGUUCUCAUUUUCAUAGGCAUGUUGACUCUGGGAUACAGACACCAGGGACAAGGAUUUAACUAAUAUGUGGUGAUUACAUGUGAUGACCAAAUGUAGCCCUUUUUUUGAUGCAUGUGCUUCUUUGCUACC